UUCUCACCUUUUUCUAGAUCGAGACUGCCAGUUACUUUACCACUGACAAGUGUAAUAUCACGGUCCGUGAACUUCGCCAGCGGAUGAUCGCAUCGUUUGCGGUGUUAUUGAUGCUUUGUAUGCCACCAGGGCUCGAAGGCCGAAACAAAGUGCGCGAUUUAGAUUGUGUUUCUGACUGCAGGCAGAGACUGCAGGUGAGCAGGCCACACAAACUGAUGGUAAUUGAUCUUAUAAUAGUGGGCGAAAAAAGAACAUUCCGCAAAAUGCUUCAGGUGUAGCACAGUCCCGGUCCAUGAUUGCAAAUGCGGUAUUUAGACAGGUUACUUCCGUACACGCUUAAACGACUUCCUUUUAAACUGAAACGCCUUCCGUUUACACUGAAAUGCCUUCCGUUUAUACUGAAAAUUCACGCACAUCCACAUAUGAAAUCACUCGCAUAUAUACAUGUACACAUGUUUUUCUCAUCUGAACUGUAUACGUUAGUAAAUGUUAUUGUUUAUGUAUGCGCGAGUGUUUUAUGGAUGUGUAUGCGCUCAUCGAGUUUAUAUGUAUGUGCGAGUGUUUAAUAGGUGUAUAUGCACGGAUCAAGUUUAUAUGUAUGUGCGAGUAUGUGCAGUUGUGUUUGUAUGCAUCGAGUUUAUAUGUAUGUGCGAGUGUUUAAUAGGUGUAUAUGCACGGAUCAAGUUUAUAUGUAUGUGCGAGUAUGUGCAGGUGUGUUUGUAUGCAGCGAGUUUAUAUGUAUGUGCGAGUGUUUAAUAGGUGUAUAUGCACGGAUCAAGUUUAUAUGUAUGUGCGAGUAUGUGCAGGUGUGUUUGUAUGCAGCGAGUUUAUAUGUAUGUGCGAGUGUUUAAUAGGUGUAUAUGCACGGAUCAAGUUUAUAUGUAUGUGCGAGUAUGUGCAGUUGUGUUUGUAUGCAGCGAGUUUAUAUGUAUGUGCGAGUGUUUAAUAGGUGUAUAUGCAUGGAUCAAGUUAAUAUGUAUGUGCGAGUAUGUGCAGGUGUGUUUGUAUGCAGCGAGUUUAUAUGUAUGUGCGAGUGUUUAAUAGGUGUAUAUGCACGGAUCAAGUUUAUAUGUAUGUGCGAGUAUGUGCAGUUGUGUUUGUAUGCAGCGAGUUUAUAUGUAUGUGCGAGUGUUUAAUAGGUGUAUAUGCACGGAUCAAGUUUAUAUGUAUGUGCGAGUAUGUGCAGUUGUGUUUGUAUGCAGCGAGUUUAUAUGUAUGUGCGAGUGUUUAAUAGGUGUAUAUGCAUGGAUCAAGUUAAUAUGUAUAUGUGAGUGUCUGUAGGUGUAUGCACGUGUCAAGUUUAUAUGUAUACGCAAGUUAUUCACAAGUGUGUAUGCAUACAUUGCUAACAUUAUAUGUAUUGGUAUCGAUUUCAUAUUAGUGUUCACGUGUAUUUUAUAUAUGUAUUUUUGAACAUUCAGUAGUAUGCAUGUAUAUGCGAGUAAUUUAUAGGUGUAUAUGCACGUGUUUUAUGUAUGUAUUGAUAAGCGAAGUUUGAUUUAAAUCCUACACGGCGC